rnacentral:rRNA from 1 species
UACAGAGGGUGCAAGCGUUGUUCGGAAUUAUUGGGCGUAAAGCGCGUGUAGGCGGCAGUGCAAGUCGGGUGUGAAAGCCCUCAGCUCAACUGAGGAAGUGCACCCGAAACUGCAUUGCUUGAGUACCGGAGAGGAUGGCGGAAUUCCCGAAGUAGAGGUGAAAUUCGUAGAUAUCGGGAGGAACACCGGUGGCGAAGGCGGCUAUCUGGACGGAUACUGACGCUGAGACGCGAAAGCGUGGGUAGCAAACAGG